rnacentral:rRNA from 1 species
AUACGGAGGGUGCAAGCGUUGCUCGGAAUCACUGGGCGUAAAGCGCGCGCAGGCGGUCUUUUAAGUUGGAUGUGAAAGCCUACGGCUCAACCGUAGAACUGCAUCCAAAACUAUUAGACUUGAGUGUGGGAGAGGAAGAUGGAAUUAGUUGUGUAGGGGUAAAAUCCGUAGAGAUAACUAGGAAUACCAAAAGCGAAGGCAAUCUUCUGGAACACUACUGACGCUGAGGCGCGAAAGCGUGGGGAGCAAACAGGAUUAGAAACCCUGGUAGUCC